GCCAGGAGUGGCCAGGCCCCAACACACCCCUCUGGAGCUGCAGUGUGCGUGUUUGUGCACCGUCAGCGGAAAGCCAGACCUGGCGGUAUCAGACAUGUAUAGACUCACUGGUGAUGACUGCCCUGGAGACUGAGGGAAGGAGGGAAUGCAGGUGUGUCUGUGAAAGUGGUAUAAAUGAUAGGUCUAGCGUUUCUCAAAAUGGGGAAUGGUUUUCUUGGACAGAAGACAGAGGUCCUUUCCAGAAUGCUGUAAAAACGCCUCACAUUUUCAAAGGCAGCAGGCCAGGUGGGUGUGUUCCUGUUGCUGCUGCUGCCUGAGGAGAAGCAGCUGUACAAGAGUUGAAUCAGCAUUGCUACAGCCUUGCCUAGGCGUUUCCCUGAUGUCAUCAGAAUAUAGCAAUAGCACCCUGGAGUGAAUACGCAAUCCGCCAGUAAAUUUCAUUGACUCACAUCAAGGACAAAAGUUUCCAUCCUUCCUCUUCCACAUUGCAGUCCAGUCUAGACCGGUUGUGAGAGUUAAGACACCUGGACCUGGAUCUAGAAACGCUUUUCACAGAGGGCCUUUUGGUUCCAAUCACAGGCCCAGGGCAGCUGGCUGGGCCAGGGUUGCUGAGACGACUGUUCAUGGGGGAGCACCUUGUGUACCCUGCCUGAGGCUGGGCCGGGCUGGCUGGGGCCACUGGAUGAUGGCUGUAACCAUGGUGGGGUAUCUGGUGUCGGUGGUCUGCUGUUCAGCAAGGUGCUUCCCUCCCUCCCUCUUCGUUCCUCUUACUGUAUCUCCCAGUCUGAAUGAUGAACAUCUAUCCUGUCACGUCUCCUCCCGUUGCUCCCCUCCGGCGCUCUGAUUCGCCGGUCUACUGAGCCAUCGGUCUAAGCA